rnacentral:rRNA from 1 species
UACUAGUGGGAGUACGUCCACAGUUACAGCUAGGCACUAGGGUAUACGCCACGAUUGGAACCUGAACCGUUCAUUUCACGAAGCAGCAGUAGAUCUGCACAUUGACGAAGCCUGAUGCAGCACGCCCAUUAAAGAUGAACGCUCUUCGGUGUAACUCUGUCCCUGAACGAAAGAAAGUGACGGUACCCGGCAGCAGCCCCGGCUAACUACGUGCCAGCAGCCGCGUAUACGUAGGGGGCAAGCGUUAUCGGAAUUAUUGGGCGUAAGAGUGCGUAGGUGGUUAUGUAAGCGUGAGGUUUAAGGCAGUGGCUUAACCACUGUUCGCCUUGCGAACUGCAUAACUUGAGUGCAGGAGGGGAAAGCGGAAUUCCUAGUGUAGCGGUGAAAUGCGUAGAUAUUAGGAGGAACACCAGCGGCGAAGGCGGCUUUCUGGACUGCAACUGACACUGAGGCACGAAAGCGUGGGGAGCAAACAGGAUUAGAUACCCUGGUAGUCCACGCCGUAAACGAUGAGCACUAGUUGUUGGGUCCGAACGGAUUCAGUGACGCAGUUAACGCAAUAAGUGCUCCGCCUGGGGAGUACGCUCGCAAGAGUAAAACUCAAAGGAAUUGACGGGGACCCGCACAAGCAGCGGAGCAUGUGGUUUAAUUCGAAGCAACGCGAAAAACCUUACCAGGACUUGACAUCCUGCUGACAGGUCCUUAACCGGGCCCUUCUUCGGACAGCAGAGACAGGUGGUGCAUGGUUGUCGUCAGCUCGUGUCGUGAGAUGUUGGGUUAAGUCCCGCAACGAGCGCAACCCUUGUUGUCAGUUACUAACAUUAAGUUGAGGACUCUGGCGAGACUGCCGAGGUUAACUCGGAGGAAGGUGGGGAUGACGUCAAAUCAUCAUGCCCCUUAUGUUCUGGGCUACACACGUGCUACAAUGGCCGGUACAGAGAGACGCAAAACCGCGAGGCGGAGCAAAUCACUAAAACCGGUCCCAGUUCGGACUGCAGGCUGAAACCCGCCUGCACGAAGUUGGAGUUGCUAGUAAUCGCAGAUCAGAAUGCUGCGGUGAAUGCGUUCCCGGGUCUUGUACACACCGCCCGUCACACCAUGGAAGUUGGGGGUGCCCAAAGUUGGCUGAUAAAUAAGUUACCUAAGGCAAAACCAAUGACUGGGGUGAAGUCGUAACAAGGUAAAUCACUGCCGUCGUACCCCU